CACAGUUUUGGUUUCCUAAGAAUUUGUGACAGAAAGAAUGAUUUUAUUUUAAUAAUUAAAAUAAUUGUAAAAGUGGGGAUAAGAGAAAAUGGAAUAAUGCUUUGAGCAGAGAGAGCGAGGAUGCUAGAGAACGAGAAUCUUUCUUCGCCGAUCCACCUUGUCUUCUCUUAGCUCAUCGAAUCUCUCCGUCGCCGUCGAUUCGUCCCGCCGAGAUCUUAGCUUCAAUAAAUUAAGUGAUGGCAAAUCAAUGGAACAGAGGCUGGGGUGAUUUAAGUUUUAUUUCGUAAUAAAUUUACGAACCAUUAUAGAUUUGGUUAUUUUUUUCAUGAAUGUUGUUGGGAUAAAAUUCUCAUCGGCCCCCUCUCCUCAAAUCAUUCUCUAGUUAGCCCCCCCAAAUAAAAAACUUGUGUUAAAUUAAUUAUUUUAAUUUUGGAAAAGAGUAAAAGACAAAUAAAAUUUGGGUUUUCAACUUAUUUACUGACCCAACCUCAAUUUGGAUCUAGAUCCACAUAUAUUGGGUCAGAUUUUGGAUCAUUUAACCCCAAAAAUCUCAAAAACGUAAAGUCCCAAAAUCAAAUCCCUAACUCUAAUUUUUUUUCCCCUUUUCUCUCAAAAAAAAUGACUAAUCGCCGUUCAUCUCUCCGUCGUUCUUCUCUCGUCGCCGGCAAACCUUCUUUUCUUCCCUCUUCUCUCCGAAUCGAAACCUUCAUUCUUCUUCUCGUUGGAAAUUCUUUGUUAGAAAUCCAAUCCAAAUCCACGUUCCUUCGUCUCCUUUCUUGUAAGCUAUAAAUUCUUCAUUCUCAUUCUUUCUUUUGUUUGAUUUCGAUGGAUUUUGUUGGGUUUUGUUUGUGAAACGGAUGAUUUUCGGAUUUGAAUUUGUUGUAAUUUUCUGAUUGAAUUUGUCCCAAUUUUUGAUUUGAAUUUCUCUCUAUUUUCGGAUUUGAAUUACUUUAGAUAGAUUCAAAAGGAUUCCGAUUCAAAAUGUGUUUCGGAUUUGAAAUUUGUUGAAAACCCAAACUUUAUCUCUUAUAAUUAUGUAGAUGGAUAAUGAGAUUAUGUGAGUUUGUGUUUGGAUUGCUCGUUUAUUGUCUUGGUUUAGACAAUGAGAGUUUCAUAGUGACCAAAAACCAUCCGUAUUAUUUAGGUAGAAUUUAAGAUUGCUUUUGAAUGUUUGAUAUUGAAGAAAGAGAAGGAGAAGGAAAAAGAGAAGGAGAUGGAGCAAGAGCAGGCGAAGCACAUGGAGCAAGAGAAGAGUUCAGCUCCUAUUUUGGUCUCUGAUGAUGAUUUUCGCUUGUAUUCUGGUCUUUGAUGUUGAUGUAUAAAUUUAAGUGUUUAGGUACAACUGGUACGAUUAGGUACAACUAUGUUUCUGGGUUUAUGUUUUUUGAUUAUGAUGAAUCUUUGAAUUUGAAUCCAAUUAUGUAUGAAUCUUUUAAUCUGAAUCUUAAAUUUUUAUGUAUCAA